AUUGAACGCUGGCGGCGUGCUUAACACAUGCAAGUCGAGCGGUAACAGGCGUAGCAAUACGUGCUGACGAGCGGCGAACGGGUGAGUAAUGCUUCGGAAUCUGCCCAGUAGUGGGGAAUAACCAAUCGAAAGGUUGGCUAAUGCCGCAUACGACCUGAGGGUGAAAGCGGGGGAUCGCAAGACCUCGCGCUAUUGGAUGAGCCGAAGUCGGAUUAGCUAGUUGGUGAGGUAACGGCUCACCAAGGCGACAAUCCGUAGCUGGUCUGAGAG
rnacentral:rRNA from 1 species